CUCUGGGGCUGUGGCCAUUUCUCUGCACAGCUAUUUUCAUACUUACCUUAAGAGCUCACUCUGUUCCCCCAGCAAUUCUAUCAACUAUUGCUCUUCUCCAAAAAUCAGGUCCCGCAUUCAGAAUUCCUGGAGGUUACUAUGGUGCUUUGUUUUGUUUAUUUUCCACCUAGAUCAUCUUUGGGGGCAGCGUUUGGGGCACCUCUGGUGGCUGCUGGCUGACACCAAGCUUGUGGGGCUUAUCGCAUGGGACACAUGAACGAAGAAGAGGUUCCGUGAGUUAUUAGGAAUGGCUGGUUUGCUCUGUGUGUCCAGAGUUGUUCAAUGACAAUGUACACAUUAUUCUGCCAUCAGGAGAGGGCAGAGGCUAACAACCAACCCACCUUUUCCCUGAGGUUCAGACCCGUGGGAGCCUUGCAGGAAGCUGGAAUGGUCUCCUGAGACCCAAGGAAGCUGGGAGACCUGCUCUAAUCUCAGCUCUAAAACCCAAACGCUUUUCCAGACUCCCUCCAACUAAGUACCAGGCCGCAACGGCCGGCGUGAGAAAUCUCCAGCAGGACAGCACUCGGCCUGCCCGUUUGUUGGAAGAAAGUCUCGCUUCUGACUUCAUUUUUGUGUUCCUAAGUCAUAAUUGUGAGUUCAAGAAUCUCAGUUUUGCGCCAGGACCCUGGGGCCAGGAAGAGCAUGGCUUAAAUUCUUUGUGGAGGAACUCAGGUGUUCCGCUCACAUCUGACAUGUGUGCAAGGCGGUGCUGCUUCUCUCCUGAUUCCUGGUGGCUACGUCGCCUCCCAUGUUGUCGUGGCGACGGCACUGCCUUUGUGAUGAAUGAUGACACACUAACGUGGACACAGAAGAGGAUAAAGACAGCCCUAGGGCUUCGCAUAGGAUCGUGUGCACCUUCAGAACACACUCAGAUCACCUUUCUUUUGCACCUUUCUGAAACCCCGUGAAGAAAUGCGAGCGAAGAGAAUGAGACCAGAUAACGUGACUAACACGGAUCACUUAUUUGCAAGGUGCCGGGCAUCGUUCCAAGCUACUUCUAUAGUUAGGAGUGCUUCCCCUGGAUUUACAUCUGCACCUUACAGCAACUCUGAUGCAGGUGCUACUACCGCAGCUGCCUACAGAUGAGGAGACAGGUGUGUCAAUCACAGAUUACGCAAUCAGGUCACUGCGGCGCAGGGCCCUGGCCAGGCUGGGAUUUAAACCCCCAGCCCGCCUCUCUUCAGACCCUGACACCUAACAACCAGCCCACACUGCUGCUCGAGAGGAUCAGGGGUAAAGAGCUCUGUGUGGUCCCAGAAGACAGUUUGGAACCUAAUUAGUCAUCUUAGAAGCUAGGUUUCCUCACUCCUGUCCAACAUACCUUUAUUCUUGUCAUUUUUUAAAGAUUUAUUUGAGAGAGAGAGAGAGAGAGAGAGUGCAGACAUAGCCGGAGGGGGAGAGGGAGAGGAUCUCUAGCAGACUCCCUGCCGAGCGUGGAGCUCAACGUGGGGCUCGAUCUCACGACCCUGAGAUCACGACCAGAGCUGAAAUCAAGAAUCGGACGCUCAACUGGCUGAGCCACGCAGGCGCCCCCCUUCUUUUCAUUUUUUAUGGUGAAACAUACACAGAUCCUAAUGUAUAAACAAAUAUAUAUUUCAUACUGAACCAUUUGAAGUUAUCAAUAUUUGCUCAGAUUUGACACGUAGAAAUGGCAAUCUCACGACUUAAUGUGCUAUCUGCUAUUUACUGAACUGGUAAAGUUAAGGCAAAGGCUAAUAUAAACACCACCCAGUUGAAAGAAAGAGCGUUGCCUGCACAUGCAUCUCCCCCUGAGAUGCCCCCCCGUGUCUCUCUGGGUGACACCACUCCGAGUUUCUGUGGUAAUCUUCAUUUUCCUCAUGUUGGCAUCCCUAAAGAAUGUAGCUUAUUUUUGCUUGCUAUGUCCUGAUAUAAAUGGAUCGUACUCCACGUGUUCUUUUGAGACUUGCUUUUCUCAUUCAUUACUCUGUUGGUGCAAUUGAGCUGAAUUGCUCAUGCAAUUAUAGUUUUUUGGGGUCGUUGUAUAAUAUUACAUUAUAUGAAUAAAUCACUGUUUAUCCGU